GACGAACGCUGGCGGCGUGCUUAACACAUGCAAGUCGAACGAAGUGGCGAACGGGUGAGUAACGCGUAAUAAACCUGCCCUUAAGAGGGGGACAACAGUUGGACACGACUGCUAAUACCGUCUACUGAAGGAGGGGAUUGCGUCUGAUCAGCUAGUUGGAGGGGUAACGGCCCUCCAAGGCGAUGAUCAGUAGCUGAUCUGAGAGGCGGAACGGCCACAUGGGGACUGAGACACGGCCCAGACUUCUACGGGAGGCGGCAGUGGGGAAUCGUCCGCAAUGGACGAAAGUCUGACUGAGCAACGCCGCGUGAGUGAUGACGGCCUGCGGGUUGUAAAGCUCUGUUGAUCGGGACGCGGUACCGAAAUAGAAAGCGACGGCUAACUACGUGCCAGCAGCCGCGGUAAUUC
rnacentral:rRNA from 1 species